rnacentral:rRNA from 1 species
UAAUACGUAGGCAGCAAACGUUGUUCGGAAUUACUGGGCGUAAAGAGUGUGUAGGCGGUUUUGUUAGUUUGGUGUGAAAUCUCCCGGCUUAACUGGGAGGGUGCGCCGAAUACUGCAAAGCUUGAGUACUGGAGAGGAUAGCGGAAUUCCUGGUGUAGCGGUGAAAUGCGUAGAUAUCAGGAGGAACACCGGCGGUGUAGACGGCUAUCUGGACAGUAACUGACGCUGAGACACGAAAGCGUGGGGAGCAAACAGGAUUAGAUACCCUGGUAGUCCACGCCCUAAACGAUGCAUACUUGGUGUGGGUGAUUCAUUUUAUCCGUGCCGGAGCUAACGCGUUAAGUAUGCCGCCUGGGGAGUACGGUCGCAAGGCUG